rnacentral:misc_RNA from 1 species
UUUCCGUAGGUGAACCUGCGGAAGGAUCAUUAGAAAAUCCAGGAGUAUUUAAUAUUCUUGGGCAUUUUUCUAACCACAAUGUUGACCAUUACCUCUGUUGCUUCCACAGUAAAGCAAUUUUUUGCUCUACUGUGAAUGGAUUGCACCUAUAACCUUUGUAAUUAGAUAUGUCUUUGUCUGAUAAUGAAAAUAAAAUGUUUUAAAAACUUUCAACAACGGAUCUCUUGGCUCCU